rfam:Schistosoma margrebowiei strain Zambia genome assembly, scaffold: SMRZ_scaffold0002345
AUCCAACUAAUGAGGAGUCCCACAAUAGGACGAAACGACCGUCCAGUAU